rnacentral:rRNA from 1 species
AACGAACGCUGGCGGCAGGCCUAACACAUGCAAGUCGAGCGAGGACUUCGGUCCUAGCGGCGGACGGGUGAGUAACGCGUGGGAACGUGCCCUUUGCUUCGGAAUAGCCCUGGGAAACUGGGAGUAAUACCGAAUGAGCCCUUUGGGGGAAAGAUUUAUCGGCGAAGGAUCGGCCCGCGUUGGAUUAGGUAGUUGGUGGGGUAAUGGCCUACCAAGCCGACGAUCCAUAGCUGGUUUGAGAGGAUGAUCAGCCACACUGGGACUGAGACACGGCCCAGACUCCUACGGGAGGGAGCAGUGGGGAAUCUUAGACAAGGGGGGAAACCCUGAUCUAGCCAUGCCGCGUGAGCGAUGAAGGCCUUAGGGUUGUAAAGCUCUUUCAGCUGGGAAGAUAAUGACGGUACCAGCAGAAGAAGCCCCGGCUAACUCCGUG